GGAUUUUAUUUCGUGCUACCAGGGGUAAUGUGUAUUUGAAGCAGGCUGUCGUCGAGCACCCCGUCACUGAUCCUGUUUCUGGUGAAAAGGUUGAUACCUCUUCCAAAUUAGGUUGAUUAUAUGAUGUAGUGGAAAAUGUCUGUUUCAUAUAACAAACAUCAUUGUAUUCCUAAUGUAUAUGCAGUGCUGUCAUUACUUUUCGAUUAUUCCACAUAAUUCUUGUUAUUGCAUGCGUCAUGGUUUAUAUGCGUGCAAGUACUAGUGGAAAUUACUGACUUCUGAUGUUAAAUUUUCUUAAAGGUUGAGAAAAACGUAUUUGCUGUCUUCUUCUCUGGGGAAAAAGCAAAGAAUAAAAUUUUGAAAAUAUGUGAAGCUUUUGGAGCAAAUCGUUAUUCUUUUAGCGAGGAUAUAUCGAAGCAAGCUCAAAUGAUAACG
rnacentral:lncRNA from 1 species